rnacentral:rRNA from 1 species
GAUGAACGCUGGCGGCGUGCCUAAUACAUGCAAGUCGAGCGAACAGACGAGGAGCUUGUUCCUCUGACGUUAGCGGCGGACGGGUGAGUAACACGUGGAUAACCUACCUAUAUGUCUGGGAUCACUUCGGGAAACCGGAUCUAAUACCAGAUAAUAUCUUGAACCGCAUGGUUCAAUAGUGAAUGACGGUUUUGCUGUCUCUUAUAGAUGGUUCCGCGCCGCAUUAGCUAGUUGGUAAGGUAACGGCUUACCAAGGCAACGAUGCGUAGCCGACCUGAGAGAGUGAUCGGCCACACUGGAACUGAGACACGGUCCAGACUCCUACGGGAGGCAGCAGUAGGGAAUCUUCCGCAAUGGUCGAAAGCCUGACGGAGCAACGCCGCGUGAGUGAUGAAGGUCUUCGGAUCGUAAAACUCUGUUAUUAGGGAAGAACAAAUGUGGAAGUAAAUAUGCACGUCUUGACGGUACCUAAUCAGAAAGCCACGGCUAACUACGUG